rnacentral:tRNA from 1 species
UAAAUGAAAGCCAAAGAUGCGGCGCCUAGCUGUUAAUUAGGAGAAUGUAGAUAUACUACUCAUUUAG